AUUUUAAUUAGUUUAAUCCCAUUUAUUUAAAAGUUUGGGAUAAUGUCAAGUGGGCAAGUGGGUAGUAAAGCACUUAAGUGUUUUUAGGAAUUUUAGAGUUUGAUAAACUCUUCUAACCCUCCCCAACCGACCACACCACUCUCCCUCAUUCACUCUCAUCUUUUUUUUUUUUUUUUGAAAACUCUCUCUAGUUUUAUCUCAAUAUUCAACCUCAAGAACAAUAAGGAGACUUGGAAGCUAAGCUUGGUCUAGGAAGGGUUUUCCCUAAGGGUUUUUGAAAGGUUUUGAAGGAGCCAAAGCUAGUAGGAAGAUCCACACCUUAAGUAAGAACACCAAAGAGGAAAAUAGCUAUGGUGGUGGUAAGGUUCUUGGUAGCUUGGGGGUUGUGUAUUGAGGCAGAAUGGAAAUGGAUGGAUUGAGCGUUCGGUUCGAGGAUGAAGCCGCUUCUUAGUAUUUUAAAAAUUAUGCUUUACAUGUAUUUUCCGCACUUUAUUUUGUAAUCCAUUUUAAAGUUAUGUUAUGUUUUUCUUUUAAAAACAAUGGGAUCCCAUAUCCUACUUUAAAUUUUAUGUAGUUUAACAUUUGUUUUUAC